UGUGUUAAUAACCCUUCCGUNGGGGGNNCCUGCGGAGGGAUCAUUACACAAAUAUGAAGGCGGGCUGGAAUCUCUCGGGGUUACAGCCUUGCUGAAUUAUUCACCCUUGUCUUUUGCGUACUUCUUGUUUCCUUGGUGGGUUCGCCCACCACUAGGACAAACAUAAACCUUUUGUAAUUGCAAUCAGCGUCAGUAACAAAUUAAUAAUUACAACUUUCAACAACGGAUCUCUUGGUUCUGGCAUCGAUGAAGAACGCAGCGAAAUGCGAUAAGUAGUGUGAAUUGCAGAAUUCAGUGAAUCAUCGAAUCUUUGAACGCACAUUGCGCCCUUUGGUAUUCCAAAGGGCAUGCCUGUUCGAGCGUCAUUUGUACCCUCAAGCUUUGCUUGGUGUUGGGCGUCUUGUCUCUAGCUUUGCUGGAGACUCGCCUUAAAGUAAUUGGCAGCCGGCCUACUGGUUUCGGAGCGCAGCACAAGUCGCACUCUCUAUCAGCAAAGGUCUAGCAUCCAUUAAGCCUUUUUUCAACUUUUGACCUCGGAUCAGGUAGGGAUACCCGCUGAACUUAAGCAUAUCAUA
rnacentral:rRNA from 1 species